rnacentral:rRNA from 1 species
AACGUAGGUGGCAAGCGUUAUCCGGAUUCACUGGGCGUAAAGCGCGCGCAGGUGGCGCGGUUGGUAGGGCAUGAAAUCUCCCGGCUUAACUGGGAGGCGCUGUCCUAUACCGCCACGCUUGAGGCUGGAAGAGGGAAGUGGAAUUGCCGGUGUAGUGGUGAAAUGCGUAGAGAUCGGCAGGAACACCAGUGGCGAAGGCGGCUUCCUGGUCCAGUCCUGACACUGAGGCGCGAAAGCUAGGGGAGCGAACGGG